CCAAUGGCGUAUAUUAAAGUUGCUGCAGUUAAAAAGCUCGUAGUUGAAUUUCGGGGUCAGUAGGUCGGUCGUGCCACUGGUAUGAACUGGUUUUACUGAUUCCUCCCUCUUGAAGAACUGUAAUGCCAUUAAUUUGGUGUUGCAGGGAAUCAGGACUGUUACUUUGAAAAAAUUAGAGUGUUUAAAGCAGGCUUUAGCUUGAAUACAUUAGCAUGGAAUAAUGAAAUAGGACGUUUGAUCCUAUUUUGUUGGUUUCUAGGAUUGACGUAAUGAUUAAUAGGGAUAGUUGGGGGCAUUAGUAUUCAAUUGUCAGAGGUGAAAUUCUUGGAUUUAUUGAAGACUAACUACUGCGAAAGCAUUUGCCAAGGAUGUUUUCAUUAAUCAAGAACGAAAGUUAGGGGAUCGAAGACGAUCAGAUACCGUCGUAGUCUUAACCAUAAACUAUGCCGACUAGGGAUCGGAUGAUGUAAUUUUAAUGACUCAUUCGGCGCCUUACGGGAAA
rnacentral:rRNA from 1 species